rnacentral:tRNA from 1 species
GGCCCUUCAGCUCAGUGGUGAGAGCGAGCGGCUCAUAACCGCCAGGUCGCCGGUUCAAGCCCGGCAGGGGCCACCA